rnacentral:misc_RNA from 1 species
AACGCACAUUGCGCCUCUCGGUAUUCCGGGAGGCACGCCUGUUCGAGCGCCAUUACACACUCCAAGCGAAGCUUGAUGUUGGGCGAAGCGGUACACCACCGCCCGCCUGGAACGCGUGGGCGCCCGCCGCCGGACCGCGAACGUAGCAAGACAACUCGUCAAGUCGUUCUGAGUGUCUCCGACGGGGGGCCAGCCUUAACAACCUUAUAUCCAGUUUGGCCUCGGAUCAGGCGGGGAUACCCGCUGAACUUAA